rnacentral:rRNA from 1 species
GAUGAACGCUGGCGGCGUGCCUAAUACAUGCAAGUCGAGCGAACAGACGAGGAGCUUGCUCCUCUGACGUUAGCGGCGGACGGGUGAGUAACACGUGGAUAACCUACCUAUAAGACUGGGAUAACUUCGGGAAACCGGAGCUAAUACCGGAUAAUAUAUUGAACCGCAUGGUUCCAUAGUGAAAGACGGUUUUGCUGUCACUUAUAGAUGGAUCCGCGCCGCAUUAGCUAGUUGGUAAGGUAACGGCUUACCAAGGCGACGAUGCGUAGCCGACCUGAGAGGGUGAACGGCCACACUGGAAGUGAGACACGGUCCAGACUCCUACGGUAGGCAGCAGUAGGGAAUCUUCCGCAAUGGGCGAAAGCCUGACGGAGCAACGCCGCGUGAGUGAUGAAGGACUUCGGAUCGUAAAACUCUGUUAUUAGGGAAGAACAAAUGUGUAAGUAACUAUGAACGUCUUGACGGUACCUAAUCAGAAAGCCACGGCUAACUACGUG